UACGUAGGGUGCAGGCGUUAAUCGGAAUUACUGGGCGUAAAGCGUGCGCAGGCGGUUUGCUAAGACAGGUGUGAAAUCCCCGGGCUUAACCUGGGAACUGCGCUUGUAACUGGCAAGCUAGAGUGUGGCAGAGGGGGGUGGAAUUCCACGUGUAGCAGUGAAAUGCGUAGAUAUGUGGAGGAAUACCGAUGGCGAAGGCAGCCCCCUGGGAUCAACACU
rnacentral:rRNA from 1 species